rnacentral:misc_RNA from 1 species
UAAUCUCACCAUCCAACUCUUUGUUGGCAUGUCGUGGAUUUGGAUGUUGCCGUGCCACAGCGGCUCGUCUGAAAUGCCUGAGUACAUCCUGGAUCGUGAUGUGUUUGGUGUGAUAAACUUUCACCAUCUUUGACUUUAGUGGUCACGCUCACUUGGCCAAGGCUCUGUGCUUCCAACCGUCUUGAUCAGACAAUCUUGACA